UUCCGGAGAGGGAGCCUGAGAAACGGCUACCACAUCCAAGGAAGGCAGCAGGCGCGCAAAUUACCCAAUCCCGACACGGGGAGGUAGUGACAAUAAAUACUGAUACAGGGCUCUUUAGGGUCUUGUAAUUGGAAUGAGUACAAUUUAAAUCCCUUAACGAGGAACAAUUGGAGGGCAAGUCUGGUGCCAGCAGCCGCGGUAAUUCCAGCUCCAAUAGCGUAUAUUAAAGUUGUUGCAGUUAAAAAGCUCGUAGUUGAACCUUGGGCCUGGCUGGCCGGUCCGCCUCACCGCGUGUACUGGUCCGGCCGGGCCUUUCCUUCUGGGGAGCCGUAUGCCCUUCACUGGGCGUAUUGGGGAACCAGGACUUUUACUUUGAAAAAAUUAGAGUGUUCAAAGCAGGCCUUUGCUCGAAUACAUUAGCAUGGAAUAAUAGAAUAGGACGUGCGGUUCUAUUUUGUUGGUUUCUAGGACCGCCGUAAUGAUUAAUAGGGAUAGUCGGGGGCAUCAGUAUUCAAUUGUCAGAGGUGAAAUUCUUGGAUUUAUUGAAGACUAACUACUGCGAAAGCAUUUGCCAAGGAUGUUUUCAUUAAUCAGUGAACGAAAGUUAGGGGAUCGAAGACGAUCAGAUACCGUCGUAGUCUUAACCAUAAACUAUGCCGACUAGGGAUCGGGCGAUGUUAUCAUUUUGACUCGCUCGGCACC
rnacentral:rRNA from 1 species